CGACAAAUAGUUUUGGAAGUUACACAUGGUAUCCUCUACCAGAUCCAACUAAAAUGAACGCCAAGGCAAUCCUCGCAGUACUGGCUGUUUACGCUCUCCUUGUGGCAGGCACGUCAGCCUGCGGUGGUGAGGGUCGCUCCGAGUCAGAAAGAUGUGGUGACGGAGAGGCUCGCAGCGAACAAGGAGUUACCGAGGCCCGCCUGGACAGCGCUGCAAUGUCCAGCGAGUCGGCUCGCUGCGGAGGCCAAUCCGGUCGCUGCGAUGGCUAGCGGCGCCCUCGGAUGCGCAGCCACUUCCAAAAGAAGCCAGCAGUAUUUGGCCAACUGAUUGGUGGGGGUGGAAGUCACUGAACGGAAUGGUUUCAAAAUAAAUUAGCAUUGCUUGCA